rnacentral:lncRNA from 10 species
GGUCAGAAAACCGGGCCGCGGGCGGCACCGACAGCUGGGGCCCGGGUCAGGGACACGCGGAGGUCAGGCCGGUGAAGGCGGCAGGAAGCUGGAGCACGAUCCCAGGAGGAACAAUCCUGCACCAUGACUCAACAGCCACUUCGAGGAGUGACCAGCCUGCGUUUCAACCAAGACCAAAGCUGCUUUUGCUGCGCCAUGGAGACAGGUGUGCGCAUCUACAACGUGGAGCCCUUGAUGGAGAAGGGGCAUCUGGGCACCCCAAGGUACUGGCAGAUGAAGACGUCAGAGUACUUCAGAGUCACACAGAGAGGAGGCCUACAGCUUGGAAGUCAUGGAUCUUAUAGCUUGAGAAGCUUGGUGCUUUGUUUUCAUUUUAAAAAUUCUGAUUGAGUGCCUCCUGUGUGCCAUGCCCUAGAGCACUUACUGUGAGCCUGGAACUGCCCUAAGCACUUUACGUUUAUUAACUCAUUUAAUCCUCACAGUAACUCUAUGGGGUAGGAAGGAUCAUUAUCCCCAUCUUUACCGAUGAGGAAACUGAGGCCCAGUGCAGUUAAGUGACUCAUCCAAGGUCACACAAGCAAUAGGUUUUAAAAUCUUGGAGCCGUCUUCCCAAUACCCCCUUGGCUUGAGCCUCAAGUGCCAUCUUACUUUAAGGGUUUUUCUUGAUGAUCCCAUCUGGACAAGGCAGGAGUUGCCCUAGGUGAGUCACAGAGCCCUAGGAUUCCUCACGGAAAUCUCCAGGGUGCAUGGACUAGGACCCUGGAGGCAGAAAUAGUUACCGAGGGGAAGUUACAGGCCUGAGUGUGAGUCCCUGUUUGGUUGCUGAUGAGCUUUGAGGUCCUUGGCCAGACACUCAACCACUUUGAACCUCAGUUUCCUCAUCUGUAGAUGAGUGUAACAGUCUAGAACACUCCUCUCAGGGAUCAUAUCCACAAGUGCUCGUGCUGUGCGAGGAUCUCACUGGUUGUUUAUUGAAAGGCUAAGCAAGUAGGUUGAGGUCCCUGGGAAGCAGGGGUGGAUCCUGUGUCACCAGGGCUGCCCCUUACCCUAAACCUUGGCCCCGACAACC